rnacentral:misc_RNA from 1 species
UGAACGCACCUUGCGCCUUUUGGUAUUCCGAAAGGCAUGCCUGUUUGAGUGUCAUGAAAUCCUCAAUCCCCCUCGGGUUUCUGAUCCGGGGUGGACUUGGACUUGGGUGUCUGCCGUUCCGACGGCUUGCCUCAAAUGACUUAGUGGGACCAGCAUCCACGGUUAGACGUAAUAAGUUUCGUCUGGCUAGCGUGACGGCCUGCUCACAACCCCUCGCUUUGGCGUUGACAUUUUUUUUGACUCUGACCUCAAAUCAGGUAGGGCUACCCGCUGAACUUAA